rnacentral:rRNA from 1 species
UACGUAGGGCGCAAGCGUUGUCCGGAAUUAUUGGGCGUAAAGAGCUCGUAGGCGGCCUGUUGCGUCCGCUGUGAAAUCCCGGGGCUUAACCCCGGGCCUGCAGUGGAUACGGGCAGGCUGGAGGCAGGCAGGGGAGAACGGAAUUCCCGGUGUAGCGGUGAAAUGCGCAGAUAUCGGGAGGAACACCGGUGGCGAAGGCGGUUCUCUGGGCCUGUACUGACGCUGAUGCGCGAAAGCUAGGGGAGCAAACCGGG